rnacentral:rRNA from 1 species
AUGAACGCUGGCGGCGUGCCUAAUACAUGCAAGUCGAGCGAACAGACGAGGAGCUUGCUCCUCUGACGUUAGCGGCGGACGGGUGAGUAACACGUGGAUAACCUACCUAUAAGACUGGGAUAACUUCGGGAAACCGGAGCUAAUACCGGAUAAUAUAUUUAACCGCAUGGUUCAAUAGUGAAAGACGGUUUUGCUGUCACUUAUAGAUGGAUCCGCGCCGCAUUAGCUAGUUGGUAAGGUAACGGCUUACCAAGGCAACGAUGCGUAGCCGACCUGAGAGGGUGAUCGGCCACACUGGAACUGAGACACGGUCCAGACUCCUACGGGAGGCAGCAGUAGGGAAUCUUCCGCAACGGGCGAAAGCUUGACGGAGCAACGCCGCGUGAGUGAUGAAGGUCUUCGGAUCGUAAAACUCUGUUAUUAGGGAAGAACAAAUGUGUAAGUAACUAUGCACGUCUUGACGGUACCUAAUCAGAAAGCCACGGCUAACUACGUG